GGCUCCUUGGCCAAGUGGUAAGGCGCUAGUCUCGUAAACUAGAGAUCGCGAGUUCGAUCCUCGCAGGAGCCU